GCCCGGUGAACGAUUAAACGGCGGCGGAAUCCUAACCGUGCAAAGGUAGCAUAAUCAUUGGUCUUCUAAUUAUAGACCAGUAUGAAGGGCAAAAUGAGGAUCUAACGGUCUCUUUUWAUUAAUCAAUUAAACUGAUCUCCUAGGAAAAAAGCUAAAAUUCCACCUUAAAACCAGAAAACCCUGUGAAGCUUAAAUUAAACUAUUAAACCUACUAAUAACUAAWUUCGGUUGGGGUGACCUUGGAAAAAAAAAGAACUUCCAAACAAUAGUUUGUUUAAUUCUAACAAGGCUGACAAGCCAAUAAACGACCCAACCUGACUGACAAUUGAACCAAGUUACUCCAGGGAUAACAGCKCUGACCUCUUCAGGAGCCCUUAUUAAAAAGAGGGUUUACGACCUCCAUGUUGGAUCAGGACAUCCUAAUGGUGCAACCGCUAUUAAGGGUUCGUUUGUUCACGAUUAACAGUCCUACGGGAUCUGAGUUAGAACCGCCAAAGGUUCGUUUGUUCAACGAUUAAAACCCUACGUGAUCUGA
rnacentral:rRNA from 1 species